UUACUUGAAAACUAGAGGUUU
rnacentral:piRNA from 1 species